CGUAUGUAUGUUGUUACAGGGUGGUAAAGCUCAACCAGCGGCCCCCUUUCCCGAGGCAGUUCCCUGCUCUCCCCUGCGAGAGGGGCACCCUAAUCCAUUCACCCCAUCCGACUUCAGAAUGUAUUCGUAUGUAUAUGGUUAAUCGUUACAUCUCCCUGGGUCACGCAACCGAAGCUUAGCAAGCACACACACAUACAUAUAUACAUCUUUACAGGCACGCACACGUGUGUCUUCUACAUGCACAUAUAACGCAUGCUCACACACGCACGCUUCAUAAACCCGUGUGUGAUUGUGCGUUGAGCCAAACGAGAUGACUUGGCGCUGUUGAAAGGCAGUCUACGCUCGCAACCAGCGCAGGCGCCCCGCGUGUUCAUCAGCACAAAGAUGACAGGUUGAAAUUGUUUUAGCUGCAGGCAUAGGGGCGCAGAGACCCCGAAAUGCCAGUGCAUAACACGGAGUAGAAACGAGGGAUGUUUGUUCGGUAUUGUCUCAGGAAGCACGCACGACGACCCGCUAAACAAGGCUUCAGCAUCCCCCAGUCACUUCCCAAUCUGUCCAAGAGCCCCCAAAACCCAGCAGCACUCCCGGCCCCCCCCCAGCCAUCACCUUACUUACCGACUAGCAUCCCCAUCAGCAUCAUCUUAACUCUUGCCGUACGACGCGACACAUCAGCUCUACGAUCCCCCCCGCAUCAAUAAUAAAAACACCGAAAUAACCCCUCGAUACUUACAAUGCAGUACGAAGCGUUAUGAUGCAGAACAAUGUCGUAUUACAGCAAAGUUAAUCCAGCAUCCUUCCGAAAUGAGGCCCAAGUGUGUCUCUUGCGCUCUCUCUCUCUCUCUCUCUCGCGCGCGCGCGCGCCUCCCUCGAGUCGUACGUACAAAUAGAACGGCAGUCGGCAGUGUAACUUUCCGUCAGCAUCACAGCCCAUUGCCACAUCAUAGCACCGACUCUAUGAAUCAGCUCGCUCUAGAAAGGUAUGCUCGUCCUUGUUAGUUAGUCCAACUAACUAAUAUGCCGCAAAUACAACACGGGCGCGUUUGCGCUCUGGCGUUGUUGUUACGGGAAGAAAGAAAAUGACCCGCCAGGCUUCGAUCUUGAUCGCGUCAGAGAGAUAAAUUCCCUAUUCACUCUAGCCUCACUCCGUUCGCAUUUCCCCCGACCUUUCCCUCCUCCCCCGCGCCGCACCGCCAACAGGCGGGCGAAUCGAAUGUUCCGCCCUGCUCCCCGCACUCCCGCGAGCACGCACGCUACUUCCCAAACCCUAAAGUCCGCAUCUGAGAUAAGAAAAUAAAACGACUGCUCGCUCAGGAAACGUUUGCCGCCGAUGAAGUCGGCCCCCCGCAGGGUGAACACAUCGACAUGCCUUCUGUAGUAAUAGCGAUCAGUACGGCACUUAGCAAUCUGGGACUCUCUUGGAGUCCGCAAAGGAGCAAUGCCAAUGUCAUACUGGAGCAUAAAUAAAUACGGAAACGUUUUUCCAGAAAAAAAAACAAAAGACGCAAUCACCGUUUACCAAUUCCUCAUUGGGUGGUUUGCGCUGCAUUCCCCCAGAACCAGCAAGCCGUUGUCGCUGCCGCUGCCGCUGCCGUUAUUACCGCUGCUGCAUUUAGCUUCAGUUAACGGAUGUCAGCGGCUCACGUCCGUAAUUCACGCUAUCAAACGCAUGUGUUCAUGCAAGGAGGGGAUUACAGCUUCAUCCGUGGGGCCAUCCUCCUCCUCCCCCUCCUCCAACCCAUGUGUGCCCAUUUCUGCGGAGUCGGUGAGUUACCUUUCAGGUUGAACACUCAGCACCAGCACACCACUACCAAUGGAAUCGGCCGGAUUAGCGCCGGCGUCAACUCCAACACUACACUACACUACACUACACUACACUACACUACGCGUGGUCAGCUCGCAGCAGGUCUCUCAUUCUCACUAUAACCGGUCAAUCCAUCUCAUCGUCCAUCAUCUGCACAUCGGGGUGCAUCAAGCCAGAUGAUUUCAAUCCCGCUCUUUUUAAGGAUCGAACCUAUGACCUUCUACAUCUCUGUAUCGCAAUUAAACAUAAUUGCUAUGUCUAGAGCCAAAUGCGAGAAUGCGUUUGUAUGUCUGCAUGCAUGUAUGUGUAUGUAUAGAUAUGUAUGCAAGUAUGAUGUCUGAUGUGUGAAACAGGGGGGUGUAUCUUCGCCCGUGGCAGCUACCCAGCGAAACUCUGCCUUCCCCGGUAUUUCGGGGCACCCUCAUCCAGUCACCCUAGUCAACUUCUCAGUGGAUCGCUCAGGUUCCGCACCCACCACCAGCAUCCAACGGAAUCUGCCGGGUCAACAGCGGCCCAACUCCGUUCCUGGCCGCCUCGCAGGUUAACUUUAACCCAGGUCACCACCGUCCAUUAACUAGGGGCGCAAUGCCUUCCACCAUCGGAAAGACUUUGACCCUAAUGGGUAUCGAUCCCGAGGAUCUCCCGGGGACAAUGGUCGCGCCUUACCAGUAGUGCCAAACCCUAAUAGUAUGUUGUUACAGGGUGGUUAACUUCGCCAGCGGCCCCCUUUCCCGGGGCAGUCCCUGCUCUCCCCUGCUAGAGGGGCACCCUAAUCCGUCACCCCAUCCGACUUCAGAGUGUAUUCGUUGGGUUCGGCAACUCACCACCAGCAUCCAACCAAAUCUAGCGGAUCAACGGCGCAUCAACUUAGUUCCUGGUCAGCUCGCAAGUUGAUAUUAUCACGUCCUACACCGUCCAUAUGAUGGGGGGCCACCUCCCAUUUCAUCACUCCUCAAACACCCGAGGAGCUGGCAGGCGGAUUUGAACCCGGGUCGACUGGGUCGACUGGGAGCAGAAGUCAGGCCUUAACUUCUGCCAGCCGCCUGCCUAAUAGUAUGUAUGUACAUGUGGGCUGUAUGCAUAUGUGUACAUGAGCACGCGACAGUGAAUGCAUUUGAAAACCCAUACGAACAGAUAUGAUGUUUGGGAACAACGUCAACAGACACGCAAUAACACACACACACACACAAUAGGAAC
rnacentral:lncRNA from 1 species